UACGUAGGGUGCAAGCGUUAAUCGGAAUUACUGGGCGUAAAGCGUGCGCAGGCGGUUGUGCAAGUCUGAUGUGAAAGCCCCGGGCUCAACCUGGGAACGGCAUUGGAGACUGCACGGCUAGAGUGCGUCAGAGGGGGGUAGAAUUCCACGUGUAGCAGUGAAAUGCGUAGAGAUGUGGAGGAAUACCGAUGGCGAAGGCAGCCCCCUGGGAUGACACUGACGCUCAUGCACGAAAGCGUGGGGAGCAAACAGG
rnacentral:rRNA from 1 species